AUGCAAGGCAUUUGGUGUUCCCAGCACCUCAAACCAAGCUCCCAGGCUUCCUCCCGCCACAUCAGGCGUCAUGAGGGCAGGCGCUGUUGCUGUCCCCCCACACCAUCAUUCACCCUGCUCUGGGCAUCGUGGGCUUCCUCCAGCUGGGAGUUCAGGGCUUGGGUCUGGUUGGCCAUGGCGCCUCUCUCUCCUGGGCCUCCUGCAGCUUCCGGAGCAGCUCCUCCUGCCGCCCUUGGCCUCACGAAGUUCCAGCGCCUGUGCCUGCUGCCCCGCCCGAGCCUCGGCCAGCUCCUGGGGGAGGCUGGUCUCUCUCCUGCCGCAGGUCACUGUCCUGGCCUGGGCUGCCAGCCGGACACCCGUCUGCCUUGCUGUCCCCAGCGUCUCUGCCAGGAAUUGUCACUGAGACCUGCACGUACAGCCUCAGCCAGGAGCUCUACCUGCAGUGUCUCACGGAACCCUCACCCCAGCUUGGUUGGGGCAGGGGGCAGGGGUGGAUCUUCUCAGCCCAUUUUCUACACACAGACUCAGAGAUUUUAAGAUAUUUCCUUAAGAUCACACAGCACGUACAGACCCAGGGACAGGACUGGAACCCAGGUUGGACUCAGGUGUGCUGGGAAACCAGCUCAGCCCCCAAGGUGAGGGGAGAGGGAAGAGACGAGGUGCUGGGGCAGGGUACCUGACAGCCUGUCCUGUAGAGUCUGCAUUUCCUUCCGCAGCUGCUCCAGCUCCCGAUGGUCCGAGGGGUCUGCAGAGCCUCUGCAGUGUGGGGACACCCGUAACAUUGAGGAGCUUGUCCUGCGGCAGGGCAAACCCACCCUGCCCAGGCCCUGAUGGCACCUGUACCUUGGAGCUUCCGGCUCAGCUCCAGCUUCUCCUGCUCCAGACAGCGGAGCUUCCGCUCCAGGGAGCCAACUGCUCAGAGCUGCUCUCAGGGCCAGGACUGGGGAAAGCAGAGCAACACAAGUUGGCAGAGAACCAUCCCCCAGCCUCCUCCAUCUUUCUUCAUCCAACAUUGAUUCAUCUAAGAAAUGCCCACUGCGCACCAGCUCUGUACCCAAGUCUGGGCUCUGGGCUGGGAAGAGAGACAGAGGAGACCACACCUUGCCCUUAGGAGGCCCCAGGCAGGUACCAUGGGUGGUAGCCAGGACAAUGGUUCCAGAGUCCCUGGGCCCUGGUUCCACAGCCCUGGCCCUUAUUGUGUGUGUGACCUUGAACAAUAACCUAAUGUAUCAAGGUCUCAGUUUCCCCACAGGAAAAGGGAGGUGACGCUAGGGCUCUUGCAAGAGCUGUCAAGAGAACUCAGUGGUAUGGGCCCAGGACAUAGGAGCACUCUAUGAAUAAGGGUGAGAGGCAUCUGCUUAUACUUCACAGUUCCCACUCCCCAGGGCCUCGCUGCAGUCUCAGGCCAGCCUUACAAGUGGAACUGGGCUGAGAGCAUCUACCCAUUUUACAGAGGUACAAAGUGAGGCUCAGGGAGCAGCACUA
rnacentral:lncRNA from 1 species